GCGGCACGCACUAGGAACCUUCAGGUUCUAUUUAUGAACACAGGAUGCAUUUUGAAAAGGAUAAAGCAUUAGCUCGAUGAUUCUAGCCUGUGUUGAUUGGUCCCAAGCUCGGGUAAGGGAGGAGGGAAAAGGGCGUUAAGAUCAAUCCGAGGCCAUGACAAUGCCAAGAACAACCACCUAGUGACUUCUCUAUUGCUCAGUUCUGGUUUCUGGAGCGACUACUUGUUGUCCAUGGGCACUAGUGCUAUAAGAGGAUUACCCAAAUGGUAAGAACUACAAAAUCCCUUCUUUCUCUUUCCUUUUCUUGAAAGAAAAAGUAUUGUAUAAUGCUUCUAGAUUCUUACAUAUAUUCCCUUCUUCCAUGUUAAGGGCCUAUUGUUACCACAAUCCGAACUUUACUGACACCUCAUCCAAUGAAGGAACUUUAAGUAAAGUGGGACAAGAUUGAAGACAAGUACGCAGUGACUAUGCUUGCAUUAGCUGUAGCCAUCGCAUUGUGGCUCUCGGCAGGUUUGAUCUUGGCAAUCAAUAGGCUUCCUUUAGUACCUGGCAUUCUUGAACUCAUAGGAAUCGGUUAUACAGGGGUAUGUUGUAAUGUACUAUGCUAUCCCUAGAAGAAAUGCAUCCCACUAAAAACCAUUUUUAGUUCUCAUGUUUCUUUCAGGUUUCUAAGACUAAUCUUGUGCGUUAUACACACUAAUGUGUAUAUGAGUUUUAUGGUGGAAAUGAUGUGGGCUUAUCUUCCUCUUUUGUGGUCUCUUAUAAAACCAAUAUCUCUUAAAAUUUGCAUUGAUGAAAAUUGAAUUUGUUGUAUGCUAAAAUACCAGCCACACAUAAGAAGAGAGAGAGAGAGGGCAGUAUGGGGUACCAAACCAACUACAUAUAUAGGCGUGUUAGAUCAAUGCAUGGAACUAAAUGUCUUUAAAUACAUCUGAUUCAUUAUUCAGUCCCAACUUGUUCGACAGGUACUUCAUCAAACAACCCAAUAGUCAUCCUUCCAUCUCUGUGAUUAAAAAAAAUUAAAAAAAAUUCUUUCUUAUUCAUACAUUUCAUCAAAUUCAUGUACUAUGCACAUACAAGAUUCUCAAGUAGCUCUUGGGUAUCUGAGGCAAAAACGGUUCUUUCUCUCUGCAUUGACAAAUCAAGUACAAUCAAUUACAAUCUAAUAUCAAAUCCUCAAAAACAAAUUUAAAGAAAGUAAAAAAAAAAAAGAAAAAAGAAAAUCCAACUUGGGUUUUUGUUAUCAUUAUUUUUGUAAAGAAUACUUGAAUUAUUUUCGAUCCAAACCACUUGGAAACUCAAAAACUGUCUGAACCAUUGUGAGUUGUCUGUUGAACCGUUAAAAAGUUGUACAAACUACAGUUGAACAUGUAUGAACUGUUAGGUUUUACCAUAAUUACAUAUUUAAACACAUGUAAAUCUAUGGACAUGGGGAUGAUAUCACAGUUCAAGCUGGUGGUUGAAAUUGCAGGGUGACCAAUUUGAUCUCCAGCUUUUUUUUUCUUUUCUUGUUAAAAGCAUUGAU